CACAUGUGUGUGGGCUUGUUGAACGGUAGACAAAGACAUAAAGCACAUUUGAAAAUAAACCCUCUUUUCCCAUCCAGAACUCAACGGUUCAGUAUGAGUUUUGACACAUAUAAAAAAAGAGUAUG